UGGAAGCAACCUACGCCCAUUCAACAGAUGAAUAGAUAAAGAAAAUGUGAUACUUAUACAUAACGUAGUACUAUUCCGCCAUAAAAAGAAUAUCUUGUCAUUUAUAACAACAUAGAUUGAACUGGAGAGUAUCAUGUUAAGUGAAAUAAGCCAGGAACAGAAAGACAAACAUUGCAUGUUCCCACUUAUUUGUGGGAUAUAAAUAGCAAAACAAUUGAACUCCUAGAGAUGGAGAAUAGAUAGAUGUUGAC